GGAAGCGGAAGUCGCUUUGAGUGUCUGAGUUAGCGUCGCAAAGUGUUGGAGCGUUAGGGUUUGAGUUGCUCUAGAGGCACGAAGAGCUUAUCUGGAUGCCUACUUGAGGCGGAGAACCCGUCAAGGAGACUCUCGAGAAGACCCUUGCCUUCUAAGCCAUGGUUUUUCUCACAACCGAGAUCGUAUUCCCCCAGCCUCGGUUUCCCAGUGUCUAGUUCUCGACCCUUAUUCAGAGGUGGCUUUGAGGAUUUAAAGAUCCUGGAGCGGGGCGGGCCUGGGAGUGAGAGGGAUGACAGGGAUCCACAGCAGCUUCAGGAGGUGGGUGUUACUGUCUUCAUCUCACCAGAAAAGAAGCUGAUAUCCAGAAACUCAAGCGACUCACCACAGGGGCCGAGCUGGAACCUGGAUGAAAGUGGAGGGAAUGGGGACUUCCCUAGGUGACCCCAUGGGCAAGCCCGGGCCGGUUGAGGCUGGUGCCCCACGUGGGUGUGCGGGAUGUAGUUAAACACAGAGGGGGGAAAGGAUUGAAGCCAGCAAAUCAAUUGCAUCCACCCAGAACAACGUCCAAGCUGUAAACGCGAUGGAGGACACUAUUGGAUUUAGGAGCCCAGAGUUGCACACUUUAAACUCUGUACCUUUGCGGGCAGGUUCUUCAGCCCAUGUGGCAUCGUCACCGCAUCCCCCCCCCCCCCCCGCGCGCAACUUUCUUUCCAUUCUGAGCUGCUAUUUUGAUUUCUAUACUACCGAGCAAGAAUUUCUACACUCUCCCCCCUGUGACUCUCUCCCCUCCCCUUCCUCCCUUCCCCUUCCUAUCUCCCUCCCCUUCUCUCUCUUCCUAAACAAGGUCUGGCUAAAGUGCCUUUGAGGCUGGCUUUGAACUUGGGAUCUGAAAGGCUUUUGGCCCAGGGGGGACACUGUAACCGGAACCAGGAAGCCCCUAUUGCCCCCACCCCUAGGAAUUUACCUGUGACGACAUCUUCCCCACCCCUGGGAAUUUACUUAUGGCGCGAAACCUAGGACCAAUGGGCUACUAGUGCAUCACUAAAGCCCUCCUUAGGUUCCACCCCAAACCGGGGCUACUUAUAUACCACCACGCCAGGAGUCGGCCAUAGAGAUCCCCAGAUGCCAGUGGUGGGGGGUGCUAGUCAUCUCUCUCCGUGUUCUCAGAAUAAAGGCUGCUUUUUAUUUUAUACUUCUCAUCUUUUGGAAAUAAUCCUAUCAUUUGGUGCCGUGAGAUUGAUUCCUGGGACACAGCCAGUUGAGUCCCCAGCCGAUUCACAAACCAGAUAACAUCCUGGAUUGAUCCCACGCUUUUUCCUCUCCUGAGACGUCCUUGUCACCAGCCGCCUGCACUCACCGUGGGCCAGAUUUCAGGGUGACUGGCAGCAGCUCUGUAGCUGCUCUGCAGACAAUUGCUCACGCGCACCUACCGGACGGAUGGCUGCCCAAUGGUCCUGUGCUCCGGAAUCUUCUCCUCAGGCUCUGCUACCACUUCAGGAGCAAACUGGCCCCGAGGGACUUGUUAACAUCCAUGUGUGGUUUUCCCGUUCUGAUCUAUCUCAGAUUACCCAUAAAUUAGGUAGCUUUUCUGUUGACCCACAAAAUUAUAUCAGGCAAUUUGAAUUUAUUACUGUUAUGAUUUACAUUUUAAGGAUGUUUAUGUGAUUCUAAAUACCACUCUAAGCUCACAAGAGUGAAAUCAGCUGUGGCAAGCAGCUCAAGAAGAAGCUGAUCACAGACAUAAGUUCCAGGAGGCUAAUCAAAGCCCAGCUGUGUUCCUAAAUCGGCUUUCUAAUCCUCGAGCCCCACCAGCAGUUCCAGCUUCCUGCGCUUCGUUGGGCUGCCUCCCAGCCCUUCCCCCAUGCGCCCUCAGCCCCUCCCUCCCCCAGUAUGCCAUAGUCCCUGCUGCCUUACACAUUUCUGGGGGCAGUCCCAGCCCGCCCCUGAAGUUUAAAAACAAAUAAAUGUGUUCAGAAUUUGAAAAUA